rnacentral:rRNA from 1 species
CAAUAGCGUAUAUUUAAGUUGCUGCAGUUAAAAAGCUCGUAGUUGGAUUUCGGGUGGGAAUGGCCGGUCCGCCGUUUCGGUGUGCACUUGCUACGCCCACCUUGCUGCCGGGGACGUGCUCUUGAGUUCACGCUCGGGACACGGAGUCGGCGAGGUUACUUUGAGUAAAUUAGAGUGUUCAAAGCAGGCCUACGCUCUGAAUACAUUAGCAUGGAAUAACACGAUAGGACUCUGGCCUAUCUUGUUGGUCUGUAGGACCGGAGUAAUGAUUAAGAGGGACAGUCGGGGGCAUUCGUAUUUCAUUGUCAGAGGUGAAAUUCUUGGAUGUAUGAAAGACGAACUACUGCGAAAGCAUUUGCCAAGGAUGUUUUCAUUAA